AACGAACGCUGGCGGCAUGCCUAACACAUGCAAGUCGAACGAACUCUUCGGAGUUAGUGGCGCACGGGUGCGUAACGCGUGGGAAUCUGCCCUUGGGUACGGAAUAACUCAGAGAAAUUUGUGCUAAUACCGUAUAAUGACUUCGGUCCAAAGAUUUAUCGCCCAAGGAUGAGCCCGCGUAAGAUUAGCUAGUUGGUGGGGUAAAAGCCUACCAAGGCGACGAUCUUUAGCUGGUCUGAGAGGAUGAUCAGCCACACUGGGACUGAGACACGGCCCAGACUCCUACGGGAGGCAGCAGUGGGGAAUAUUGGACAAUGGGCGAAAGCCUGAUCCAGCAAUGCCGCGUGAGUGAUGAAGGCCUUAGGGUUGUAAAGCUCUUUUACCCGGGAUGAUAAUGACAGUACCGGGAGAGUAAGCUCCGGCUAACUCCGUGCCAGCAGCCGCGGUAAU
rnacentral:rRNA from 1 species